rnacentral:rRNA from 1 species
CCUACGGGAGGCAGCAGUGAGGAAUAUUGGUCAAUGGACGAGAGUCUGAACCAGCCAAGUAGCGUGAAGGAUGACUGCCCUAUGGGUUGUAAACUUCUUUUAUAUGGGAAUAAAAUGUUCCACGUGUGGGAUUUUGUAUGUACCAUAUGAAUAAGGAUCGGCUAACUCCGUGCCAGCAGCCGCGGUAAUACGGAGGAUCCGAGCGUUAUCCGGAUUUAUUGGGUUUAAAGGGAGCGUAGGUGGAUUGUUAAGUCAGUUGUGAAAGUUUGCGGCUCAACCGUAAAAUUGCAGUUGAAACUGGCAGUCGUGAGUACAGUAGAGGUGGGCGGAAUUCGUGGUGUAGCGGUGAAAUGCUUAGAGAUCACGAAGAACUCCGAUUGCGAAGGCAGCUCACUGGACUGCAACUGACACUGAGGCGCGAAAGUGUGGGUAUCAAACAGGAUUAGAUACCCUAGUAGUC